rnacentral:rRNA from 1 species
UACAGAGGUCUCAAGCGUUGUUCGGAAUCACUGGGCUUAAAGGGCGCGUAGGCGGGUGCUCAAGUCCGUGGUGAAAUCCUCCGGCUCAACCGGAGAACUGCCUCGGAUACUGGGCGUCGUCGAGUGUGGUGAGGGGUAUGCGGAACUAUCGGUGGAGCGGUGAAAUGCGUUGAUAUCGAUAGGAACUCCGGUCGGCGAAGGCGGCAUACUGGACCACCACUGACGCUGAUGCGCGAAAGCCAGGGGAGCAAACGGG